UACGAAGGGGGCUAGCGUUGCUCGGAAUUACUGGGCGUAAAGGGCGCGUAGGCGGUUACUUAAGUCGGGGGUGAAAGCCCAGGGCUCAACCCUGGAAUAGCCUUCGAUACUGGGUAUCUUGAGUUCGGGAGAGGUGAGUGGAACUCCGAGUGUAGAGGUGAAAUUCGUAGAUAUUCGGAAGAACACCAGUGGCGAAGGCGACUCACUGGCCCGAUACUGACGCUGAGGCGCGAAAGCGUGGGGAGCAAACAGG
rnacentral:rRNA from 1 species